GGGAGAGAGAGGGAGAGAGAAGGGGAGGAGAAAGAGAGAAGCAUGUUAAGCUUGUCUGGUAGUUAACAAGUCUUGAAUGAAGAAUGUUAGCAAACAGACAAACAGCAUGUCUGAUGCAUGCUAAUAGUCCUGGCUUCACCGCUGACACUAUGAAUAAUUCAGUAAGAGGAGGGUGAAAAAAAAAAAAGGCGCCCUCCACCCUCCCUUCACGCUUUCCAACGUCUGAAGAGAAGACAGGAAUAAAAAGUAUGCCACAACUUUCUCCUUCCGCCCUACAGCUCGGGAAUACCCGGCGAAGAGGCCAGUGAGGCAGCGCGCUCCCGCCAGGGCUCCUCCCGAGGCUCGCGGCUCCUAUUUUUGCCGGCUAUUAAUUCCCCCCCCCCCCCCUCCCCGCCUAUUCCACUCCUUUUGUCUGGCAGCUGGCACCUGUCCCAGAGGCAGCGUUUUGCUGCACAUCCCUCUCCCCUCCGCCGCGGGGAGCAGACGGCCCCCGCUCACCGCACGCCCCCGUGUCGGCCAUCGCAGGGGCUCGGGGGGUACCGGAGGCCCGCUUCGUGCGGUACGGACACGUACAGCCACGAAAACAGAGCUGUAAUACAGAGGCAGGCAGAGCAACCGGCCGUUCCGUGAGCUGGUGUACUGGUAGUGCGGGGGGGGACGUGACAAAUAAAAGCCCUCAUUUUCACAGCAUACAAACUAGCAAAGCCCGAUUCAUCGCUCGGCCAAAGAAAUCAAUUCCCUUAACCAAGAAAAAAGAGAGAGAGGAGAGGGAGAGAGAGAAAAGGAUCAGCGGAGGGGAAAAUACUCGAGUUUUAACCUCAAUACAACGAUAUACAGUACGGCCGAGCCAAGCACAGAAGAGACGGAAAAUUAAUCCGUUCUUCAACAGUGAAAGCAGGGUUAAAUAAAGCAGAGAAAGAGAGAGAGACCAAGAGGGGAAAAAGCAGCAGCGCCUAUGUACAGCGUUUUUAAAAGUUCUGCUCUGGCAAAGGCCGUCUGAAGGGGAGGCCCUUGCAGCAGGAAUGCGAGCGGCGGCAGCAGCCUCGUUCCAGAGCCCGGCCUCCCCCUCGCAGUGACUGGAGCGAGCUGGCUCGCCGAGAGGCGGAGGAGGCCGCGCUGGCGCGGCGCAGAGCCGGGGCUGGCGAUGGGAGGGCGGCACGACACGACACGACACAACACGGCACGGCACGGCACGGCACUACCGAGCGGCCGCGCACAGCGCACCACAGCGAGGGCCCGAGGCCGUGCGGGCCGCGGACGACAGAGCAGCUGUGAGGAAAGGCAGCGGGGCCGGCUAAUGGAGCUUUUAAUUGGGGGCGGGAGGGGGGAAUGGGAGGGAAAGGAAGGUCCUACGGAAAUAUCUUCCGGGAUUAGAACAAGGAGCGCUGGACUCCCGUCUAGAUGCGGCCCUGUAGGAAAGCGCUACGGGGAAGGUGUUUCAAAAAGCUGCUCGGAAGAUCUACGGGGCUGAAAACAGAGACUGGAAAAAAGUAGAUGGUGUGUGUGACAAAGAAAGCUGGAUGAUUCUGUUUUCUCAUGCCCUCACUCCUCCACCAGCUGCACAGCCAAGCGCAGGCUGCUUGGCCCCUGUAACUAUCUUGGCACGGAGUCAAAAGCUGAUAAGCAUUUGGGCGAGACAGCUCAACUGCUGUGCUGGAAGAAAAACAGCUGCCAUGAUUUCUGUUUGAUUGAGAGCGCUUACACACACGCACAAAAAACACAUCGGGCUGCAGAGAUGGGCCACGAAUGCCUGAGGAUUCAGCUUCAGAGGAGCAACUCACGUUUCCUUAAAAAAAAAAAGUUUUAUACAGUUUUCCCUCCAUUCCUCCUCCCCUUUUUAAAGAAAAUGUACUGCGUAGACUCGCUUCUCUCCUUCCCAUCCCCCUCCAUAACCUCAAGCAAACUCGAGGAAUUGUGCCAAAAGUCCCGUUGCUAGUUACCAAGUACGUUUUUUUAAACGUCCCUUUGAUACUUCUUCCCCUUGUGCCUGCCAUGGAAUAUGCAACUAAGAUAAUCAUUACUUACAAAAGGUAAUUAAAAAAUGAAAAGAGCUUCUAGCAAACUUUCCUUUUUCUACUUUUUUUCUCUGAAGGGGCAGAAGAAGGGAGGCGAGGGGGAGAAGAAUAUUUUUUCUCUUUGCAGAGUCCAACAUUUGGCUUUUUCCAUUUGUGGCAGAUCACUGUAACGCUAUUGUAAAACAACUUCCUGCCCCUUUUGGCUCCAGUUCCAGAAGCUGCUAGGCUAAGUUCAUAGCAGAAACUUUUUUCCCCCUUGCUGAAGAAGGAAGACAAAAAAAAAAAAAUUCUGCACAUUAUUUUCCUCCUUCUCCGGUAAUGGACUCACAAGGUGAAUUCAUUGCAGCUCUGUAAGAAUGUCACACAAGAGAGAGCGCUAUCCCAGCUGGAUAAUUCAUGAGCUGAAAGCGUUGUUUAUCGCAGUCUGAUCUUCCCGCCUUCCUUCUAAGCUGGAGCUCAGAUCCCCGUCCUCGCCGCGGUUUGUUUCGCUCUGCGGCCGCACUGAGCUCUCAAAGCCACCCUGUUAUCCAGCACGGCAACUCGCAGCACGCACGCCGCUGGCAUCCGCGGAGCAAUAGCCCGUUCUAGAGGGAGAAAGGAAUCAGGCACAUCUCUAAACGCUGCAGUCCCACAGAACGAGAUGGUACGUCCUCCAUCACUGCAUCACGGCUCGCUCUGGUGCAACACAUGCCCCCUGCUAAAGCUGUAGUUGCCAUUACAACGUGCCUUUUGCCUUCAAAGCUUUUUUUAUUUUCUUAUUUAACGACACCAAGGCUGCUCGAAGAACAGACCGCCCUGCACACACCGCUGGCGAAGUGCACCUGUCAGCCCGCAACCUGUCGCUGCUGCUCCUCCCCCCUCUGCGGCUCCAGCAACACCGCACUGACACAACUAGCCACCAAGCGCCGGGAUUUUAUUUCGUUUUCACCUAGCCAUCCGCUGCAUCAAAUAGACAGUCCAGAGAGCGGGAGAAAAAGUGCCAGAAAAAUAGCCUCAACAUACAAACACUCAGAGGGCGGGAGGGCGGGCGGCAAGCCGCUGCGCAGCCCGAACGUCACCUGCUGCCGUCAGCGCGCCCCGCGGCGGCCAUGUUGUGCGCGCCGCCCGCACCACGCGCUCCCCGGCCGCCCGCCGCGGAGCUGUGGCAGCUCAGGGCAAAGCCUACUGCCCAGGCCUUUCAUUUGUUUCAUUUGUGCCCCCAGGCCCCUGACGAGGCGGUCCAGCGGGCAGGUGGGCAGCAGGUAGCGCCGGGACUCGCUCUCUGCACAGGGCGAGGAGGGCGGGGCCAGUAACGCGGCGGGGUCGCUGGCAGGCUCGGCUCAUGAAUAAUUGCGAGCCGCUCUCCAUUUCCAUAUUUAAAUCGCGGAGCGGCGGGUGAUUAAUUAAGAAGAUUUAAAAAAAAAAAGAAAAAAAAAAGCCAGCCGGCUGCCCGCGUUAACCCCUUCCUCCCCAGCGGCGGUCCCACCACUGGCUGCCCGCGCUCGGCGUGAAUGCUAAUUGCGGCGCGUCUGUGCCGCGGGGCGGUCACGUGGGGCUCUGCGCAGCUCCGCGCAGUCUCCAGCUAUGGCAGGGACGGGUAGCGGAGCGCUAUCGUCGUUGUCUUUGCGUGGGGGAGAAAGCACCAUCAUCGACCUUAGUGUGAUUGACACUGGCGCAUACUGUGCAGUUUGAAGAUUUCAGAAUGACUGUGCAUCUACAGUGCAGCAGUGUAUGGGGCAGUAACUGGGCCUGGUUGUGUGUUGAAGAUGAGGAUGCUCAAGCCUUCACGGCAAUGAACUUUUUACUGGGGUGUGGAAGCUGCUCACAGAGAAAGAUGAGGAUUCUUCGUGUCCCUACAGCCCAAGCAAUCUGCCUGAAGCUGCCAACCUGAGAGGACACUGCAAGGUACAUUUAUCUCCCAAAGCUCAGGAGACUGAAGGUAUCAUGACACAAUGCAAACAUACACUAGUAUAUGAAUGCCACAGGACUACACACCUGAUUCCCUUUUCCAGGCUAAAGACUUACUCCUUCUGAUCUGUGAGGACUCAAGAUUUCACAAAGUGCAGCAUGUGUGUGGCUUUACUGAGAAAGACUACUAAAAUGGCAAAACAGAAUCUGUGUCCAUAUGAAGUAAGCUGCAGAAAGCAGCUUCCCCACUGCUCUCUUUCCAGACUUCAAAGGAGAUGCCUUGGCUGGUGCAAACACCCUAUAAUUCAACUGCAACACGAUUGUUUCAUGUCAGCUCUGAACUUUGGCUAUACAUGGGGAGGUAGGAGGCCAAUACCCUUUUGAGGGCAGCUUUCGUGUGAUCCAGUCAUCUUGCUUGAGAAAGACAAUUCCUGGGCUGAAGAUAUCACUAUGUUUAGUCAUUUGGUGUGGAAUAGCAGAAUAUGUGGUUAAGAAA